rnacentral:siRNA from 1 species
UGAGAUAUAUGAUGGUUACGAA